CCUGGUUGAUCUUGCCAAUAGUCAUAUGCUUGUCUCAAAGAUUAAGCCAUGCACGUGUAAGUAUAAAUUAAUUCAGACUGUGAAACUGCGAAUGGCUCAUUAAAUCAGUUAUAGUUUGUUUGAUCGUAUUUGCUACUUGGAUAAUCGUAGUAAUUUUAGAGCUAAUAUGUGCAACAAACCCCGCCUUUUGGAAGGGAUGCAUUUAUUAGAUAAAAGGGCGACGCAGGCUUUGCCCGUUACUCUGAUGAUUCAUGAUAAUUUGACAGAUCGCAUGGCCAUCGUGCUGACGGCGCAUCAUUCAAAUUUCUGCCCUAUCAACUUUCGAUGGUAGGAUAGUGGCCUACUAUGUUGGUGAUUGGUGGCGGAGAAUUAGGAUUCGAUUCCGAAGAGGGAGCCUGAGAAACGGCUACCACAUCCAAGGAAGGUAGUGGGCGCACAAAUUACCCAAUCCUAGCAUGGGGAGGUAGUGACAAUAAAUAACAAUACCGAGCUCUUUGAGUUUGGUAAUUGAAAUGAGUACAAUCUAAAUCUUUUAACAAUGAUCCAUUGGAGGGCAAGUCUGGUGCCAGCAGUCGUGGUAAUUCCAGCUCCAAUAGCAUAUAUUUAAGUUGUUGCAGUUAAAAAACUCGUAAUUAGACCUUGGAUUGGGUUGAUUGGUCCGCCUCACGAUGUGCACCAAUUGGCUCGUCCCUUCUACUGGCAAUACACUCCUAGCCUUAACUGGCCAGGUCAUGCCUCUGGUACUGUUACUUUGAAGAAAUUAGAGUGCUCAAAGCAAGCCUACGCUCUGUAUACAUUAGCAUGAGAUAAUAUCAUAGGAUUCUGAUCCUAUUGUGUUGGCCUUUGGGAUCGGAAUAAUGAUUAACAGAGACAGUUGGGGGCAUUCGUAUUUCAUAGUCAGAGGUGAAAUUUUUGGAUUUACAAAAGAUGAACAACUGCGAAAGUGAAUGAUUUUGCCAUUUCUCGGAUUCGCGGGCACUGUUCACGUUCUCUCUCAGCCGGGCGACUGCUUCACUGUAGCUCCGUUUCCGGUGUUUGAGCUCGUGCGAUCUCUUCGGCCGUCCAUUUGGCGCGAUUUUUGGAGGGAAGGCUCGCCGCUACCCUCUUCAAAUCCUGACCGAAGCAUUUCAUCUGGAGUGGCUUGAAUCGUUGGAUCUCAGUAUCCGAUUCUUGAGUUCUGGUGCGAUUCUGGUUCGCGUCUGGUGCUUGAGUUCGUGCGAUCAAUUUGGCCAUCCAUUUGGUGCGAUUUUUGGAGGGAAGGAUCGCCUCUAUCCUCCUCAAAUCUUGACCGAAGCAUUUCAUCUGGAGUGGCUUGAAUCGGUGGAUCUCAGUAUCCUCUAGGGUUCUGGUACUUCUCUGGUUCGCGUUUGGGGACUGAGCGAAUUGGAUUUCAUUGGCCGAUCAUUGCUGUGAUAUCUGGAGGUGAGUCUCACAUCCUCCCUCCUUAUAAGCUGUCUGAAUCUUGAUUCAUUCUAUGGCCUGCAUUGAUAGUCUUCGUUGAGCUGCAUUCGGGUUCUGGUGCGUAUAGUUUAUAUCGGCUGUGCCCUGUAAUGGCCUCGU
rnacentral:rRNA from 1 species